rnacentral:RNase_P_RNA from 1 species
GGCUAUGCUUGAGUAGACUUGAAAGUGCCACAGUGACGAAGCAAGAUUGGAAACAAUUUUGGUGGAACGCGGUAAACCCCACGAGUGAGCAACCCAAACUUAAGGUAGGGGCACUUUUUCCACAUAAAUGAAUGUAGGAGAGAGGACCUUGUGUGUACAAGGUCAGACAGAUAAUUAUCUCUGGAAAGAUAGUAACUAUCUUUCCUAGACAGAACAUGGCUUACAAUA